ACACACACACAUUCUAAAAUGAUCACCUUUGACACAUUCUUUUUAUCCAAUCCUUGUAUUCCACAUAAAACAUCAAUUAGUUUUGAGCACAAAGUUAAAAGCAGCAUAUGUGAUAUCGAAUCGAAUUCGAUCCAACUUACAUUCUAUUAGGCAUUCGCAAAAUAACAGUUUUGAAGCUAUAAGAUUACCAAUAAACAUAUACAUAAAGAACCCCAACAAUUCUUCAUUUGCCUUCACUUUCUUUCGAUUAACCAUAAAAACAAAGCAAAUCGCUAAACUUCAAAGUUAUAGCAGUAGACUAGAGACCCUCAAUGUAAGCAAAAUCAAACAGCCUUGGUGGUAUUAGAAGAGGCAGUGGCAUCAUCAGACAGCUCAGGAUUGGUAGGUGGAUCUGGAUUUAAAGGAGCGUAAAUUGGUCGAUCGGCAGCAUCAUCAGGGUCGUAAUCUGGGUUGAGGUCUCAAUCUAUGGCUUCCCGGCCCUUUUCUAGAUAGGGCUUGCAGGCUAUUUCUAUAGUAAUCCACCCCAGCACUACCCCUGCAAUUGCUAUC
rnacentral:lncRNA from 1 species